GGGGGUAUAGCUCAGGGGUAGAGUAUUUGACUGUAGACCAACAGGUCCUGGGUUCAAGCCCUGACACCUCUA
rnacentral:tRNA from 1 species